rnacentral:rRNA from 1 species
AUGGCCUUCCAUGUCAUCCAUGACUCUAAAUGCAUUGUCAAAUUUUUUCACUUUGCAGAAGGCAGUGACAAGUGCAUUAUAAACCACAACAUCUGGCACGAUUCCGUCCUUCUGCAUAUCCAAAAAUGUUGCAACAGCAUCCUCGAUCCUCAUUUCAACACCGUAAGUAUGCACGAGCACACUGUAUAUGAAGGUUGUUGGUUGGCAGCCCCUGGAGCUCAUGUCCUGCACCACAAAGACAGCUUCCUCAACACGGCCUGUCUUGCAGAGGGAAUCAACCAUGAUGCCAUAUGUGACUAUGUCAGGCUGGCAGCCUGCAUCAAGCAUCUCACUGUAGACCUCUCGCAUCUUUGGGAGAUUAGGCGCUCUCCCCCAACCCUCAAGCAAGAUGCUAUAGGUCUUGGCAUCAGGGCUGAACCGGUCAUUCAUCUGUUCAAAGAUCUCCUGUGCCUUGCGCACAUUCUUGGACUUGCACAGUGCGCAAAGCAGGCUGUUGAAAGCGGCGAGGUUAGGCACCACGCCGUACUUCUCCAUGACAUUGAACGUGUAAACAGAUUCAUCGACCUUCUGCGCCCGUGCGUACUUCCGCAUUAUGAUGCCAAACGUCUCGACAUUGACCACGCCCUGCCGGCACAUUACGGCAACGACGUCCCACAUGAGCUGGUACUGGCGGAUCUUGGCGAGGGACGCGACCACCGUGUGGAAGGAGCGGACGGUGUGGGCGCAGCCACCACGCCUCUGCUUGCGCGCCCACUCGAAGAAGCGAUACGCGAGCAUGCCAGCGUUGUCGAGGCGCUCGAGGACGCGCUCGGCGACGUCCGGGGUGACUCGGAGGUCGCUGUGGUCGAGCUCGAUCUCAAGCCCCGAGGCCUGCCGGCAGGAGAUGAUGAGCUUGCAGAGGCGCUUGGCGGGGUCAAAAGCCUCCACAGCGGCAUCGCUGCUACCUGUCCCGCUGCUAAGCAUUCUAACAAACACCUUGCGUGCCUCCAGACCGGUGAGACGGAAACUGGCCAUUCCGCUAUCACCGCCUUCCACACGCUGACACUGCUGUGGUGA